rnacentral:rRNA from 1 species
AAAUUGAAGAGUUUGAUCAUGGCUCAGAUUGAACGCUGGCGGCAGGCUUAACACAUGCAAGUCGAACGGUAGCAGGAAGGAAGCUUGCUUUCUUUGCUGACGAGUGGCGGACGGGUGAGUAAUGCUUGGGAAUCUGGCUUAUGGAGGGGGAUAACGACGGGAAACUGUCGCUAAUACCGCGUAAUGUCUAAGGACUAGAGGGUGGGACUUUCGGGCCACCUGCCAUAAGAUGAGCCCAAGUGGGAUUAGGUAGUUGGUGGGGUAAAGGCCUACCAAGCCGACGAUCUCUAGCUGGUCUGAGAGGAUGACCAGCCACACUGGAACUGAGACACGGUCCAGACU